AUAAUACUCCCUCCGUCCGGAAUUACUUGUCAUCAAAAUGGAUGUGUCUAGAACUAAAAUACAUCUAGAUAUGUCCAUUUCAAUGACAAGUAUUUUCGGACGGAGGGAGUAGUAG
rnacentral:pre_miRNA from 1 species